CCUACGGGUGGCAGCAGUGGGGGAUAUUGCACAAUGGGGGCAACCCUGAUGCAGCGACGCCGCGUGUAGGAAGACGGUCCUCUGGAUUGUAAACUACUGUCCCCAGGGACGAAGAUGACGGUACCUGGGGAGGAAGCUCCGGCUAACUACGUGCCAGCAGCCGCGGUAAUACGUAGGGAGCGAGCGGUGUCCGGAAUUACUGGGUGUAAAGGGAGCGUAGGCGGGAAUGCAAGUUGGGUGUUAAAUCUACCGGCUUAACUGGUAGUCGCACUCAACACUGCAGCUCUUGAGUGAAGUAGAGGCAGGCGGAAUUCCUAGUGUAGCGGUGAAAUGCGUAGAUAUUAGGUGGAACACCAGUGGCGAAGGCGGCCUGCUGGGCUUUUACUGACGCUGAGGCUCGAGAGUGUGGGGAGCAAACAGGAUUAGAUACCCUAGUAGUC
rnacentral:rRNA from 1 species